rnacentral:rRNA from 1 species
UACGUAGGGUGCGAGCGUUAAUCGGAAUUACUGGGCGUAAAGCGUGCGCAGGCGGUGAGCUGUGUCCGAUGUGAAGGCCCCGGGCUUAACCUGGGAAUGGCAUUGGAAACUGGCUCGCUGGAGUGUGGCAGAAGGGGGUGGAAUUCCGCGUGUAGCAGUGAAAUGCGUAGAGAUGCGGAGGAACACCGAUGGCGAAGGCAGCCCCCUGGGCUAACACUGACGCUCAGGCACGAAAGCGUGGGGAGCAAACAGG